UUUUGGACUUUCCAAUCUCCAGAAGUGUGAGAAAUACAUUUCCUUGGUUUACAAUAUAAUCAAUGUUUAGUAUUUUGUUAAAGCAGACUGAACAGGCUAGGAUAUAUAAUCCUUAAUAUAAUCAUUCCAACAGAGAAGAAGCCAGCAGAAUUGGUAGAGCAUAUAGGCAGUGGGGGUUCAGCAACCGUAAGAAUCAAAGUUAAAAGUUCAACCAGGAAUUACAAAAGAAAAAAAUGCUCUGGUCACUUGUUAAAAAUGGCAAGGAAACUGUAGUCCCAGCUACUCCAGAGGCUGAAGCAGGAAGAUCACUUGAGGCCAGAGUUUGAAGCCAGCCUGGGCAACAUAACAAGACCCCAUUUCUAGAAAAAGAAAAAAAAGUAAGGAAGACUUCAUUCAAGACUCUUGCAAUAUGGACCAAGAUUAUUUCAAUAAAGGAGAGCAAUUAUAUUCAACUUCACUGAAAGAAAAUAAAUAAUAUGAAUACAAAUCUUCAGAUAUUCAUUGAUACUUGCUUUGGGGAAAGCAGAAGACUAGAUGCUAUAUACAUAUGAGUAGCCCUUAGUAAGCAGAAACCCC